rnacentral:rRNA from 1 species
GACGAACGCUGGCGGCGUGCUUAACACAUGCAAGUCGAACGUGAUUUUUGUGGAAAUUCUUUCGGGAAUGGAAAUGAAAUGAAAGUGGCGAACGGGUGAGUAACACGUGAGCAACCUACCUUACACAGGGGGAUAGCCGUUGGAAACGACGAUUAAUACCGCAUGAGACCACAGAAUCGCAUGAUAUAGGGGUCAAAGAUUUAUCGGUGUAAGAAGGGCUCGCGUCUGAUUAGCUAGUUGGAAGGGUAAAGGCCUACCAAGGCGACGAUCAGUAGCCGGUCUGAGAGGAUGAACGGCCACAUUGGAACUGAGACACGGUCCAAACUCCUACGGGAGGCAGCAGUGGGGAAUAUUGCACAAUGGGGGGAACCCUGAUGCAGCGACGCCGCGUGAGCGAAGAAGGUUUUCGAAUCGUAAAGCUCUGUCCUAUGAGAAGAUAAUGACGGUAUCAUAGGAGGAAGCCCCGGCUAAAUACGUGCCAGCAGCCGCGGUAAUACGUAUGGGGCGGGCGUUGUCCGGAAUUAUUGGGCGUAAAGGGUACGUAGGCGGUUUUUUAAGUCAGGUGUGAAAGCGUGAGGCUUAACCUCAUUAAGCACUUGAAACUGGAAGACUUGAGUGAAGGAGAGGAAAGUGGAAUUCCUAGUGUAGCGGUGAAAUGCGUAGAUAUUAGGAGGAAUACCGGUGGCGAAGGCGACUUUCUGGACUUUUACUGACGCUCAGGUACGAAAGCGUGGGGAGCAAACAGG